GAUCUUCCUUCUCUGACUUCCGGUUAUGUGAGAUGUGACCGGAAGUCCUCUCGCUUCCUGUUGCGGUGAUACUGUAUAAGGAAGCAUCCAUUAAUAGCUUAUGACUUGCAGUGAAUGAGGCCCACAAUAGCAAGUUGAGAUACUUUGGAAGAUACCAAAUCAGAACCAUCACAGACUGAGCAUCCGAAGAACACAGAGGGGUUGGAGGAGGAAUGAGGGGCCACUGCCACGACAGGAUGGGUUGUCAAGACCGGGUCACAUCCUGUCACCUCAACACUCAACAACAGCGACUGUUUCCCAAGUCACCGGGCCACCUGGCUCCAGACACACUGCACCCUGGCAAAGAUAGUAGUUAUGGUUGUUUAUCCGAAUGAGAGCCUGAGUGGGGAGAGUCCAUCUGAACUGUAAUUUGAAAUGGGAAGCAUUUUCAUAGACAAAUAUCUAUCUACAGUACAGCUUUUGCUCCCAGAGAAGACAUUCAGCAGACACUUGGCUCUGAGGAGGGUGCACAGGGCGAACGGCUUUAUAAAACAGAGGUAAGAACGUGGGUGAUGAUUUUCACCUGCCCGCAUUUAGGAGAUGUGGACGAGAAGAUCAGAAAUUCAUAUCAUUCUUGGUUGCGGAGUGAAUUUGGGAUCAGCUGAGGCGAGUCAAUAAUAGUCUAUCAAUGCUUUCCAUUCAAGGCUCAGGGGACAUCGCAGAAGGUCAGGUGUGAAGAGAGAGAAGAGCUAAUGGAUGAGGGGGAGAUCUGGGAGGCCCUGUGUGAAAACCAAAGCAAACCGGGCAAGAACUAUCUCCCAGGAAAGGAAGCUCAGGGUUAAAAAACACAUACAAUCUUUACAGAUAGGUUAGGUUCCCAGCAGCCAGUCACACCAUGCAGCUCACAGAAGCCUCCUUCUCUAGCUUCUGCAGGCAGCCGCACUCACACACAGCAUACCUUACACAGACGCAGAAUUAAAAAUAAUAAAAUAAUAAAAGUAAACCUGGAAAACCAUUUCCAGAGCCAUCAAAAUCCAAGGGAAUCAUGUGCAGCCAUUAUACUAUAAUUCAGGAACCUCCCAGGGGGUUCUCUCUCUCUCUCUCUCUCUCUCUCUCUCUCUCUCUCUCUCUCUCUCUCUCUCUCUGCUCCACAGCCACCUCACUACAUGCAGAACACCCAGGUUUCCUUUUUCUUUCUAACCCUGAAGUACAUUCCUGCUGUUAACCGACACUAUGUACAAGCCUGUGAGAGACUAGAGGCUUGUUGUUUUGCUGACUGUUCUCUCUGUCUCACUGUCUUCUGAAUAUCUGUGUUUGUACCGGAGGAGUUGUGUUCCUCUGCGCUUCUGUCGGGCGAGCUUCCUUUUGCAGCGGACAGUAGUUACUGUAGCAACUCAGAACAGCUCCAAGUAUUAAGACUACGUCACCGUGAGCGCUCGGCUAUAGACCCAUCGCAUCUAUCCAGACUUUCCACGGGAGGCUCAGGGAACACUGAGGUAGGGCAGAGUGGAAGGACCUGAGAGCUAAAGUUGGUAGGGGAAACUGUUUCUCGACAUAGAAUGGCUGAUGAACGUGUCAGGGCACAGCAGCGGUGGCUCUGCAUAGAACUGCAGAUAGCACCAUGGACCCACACGUAAUGAAGGAGCUACUGGCUCUUAACAGAGGAGGGAGGCAGAGUCUCUGUCCUUUGGGAAUGGGGCUGCAGGUAAGUUGUCCCCUCCCUUGUUGUAGUCGAUCCCAUAUCUGUUAGUAUAUAGGCAUAUCAAUUGUAUUAAUCGGUCUCAGGGCUUUAUUAGUAACAGCAACAGCAAAGGCAAGAACUUGAGAGGAGCACUGGUGUGAGGGAAGAAGGUAGCGGUGAAUGGACAGGAUCGAAAUACAAUGUAUAAAUAAGUGUAUGAAAAUUUCGAAGGAGAAAUGAAAAUAUUUUUUAAAAGUCUGGCAUAUAGGCAGAGAAAGAGACACACAGAGACAGAGAGGAAAACAGAGAGAUACAGAAAGAAACAGAGGAGAGGAAGGAGAGAGAGAGAGAGAGAGAGAGAGAGAGAGAGAGAGAGAGAGAGAGAACAGCUCUCCCACCCCCCACUGGUCAGAGCCUUUCCUUUCCAGCCUCUCUCCGUGGAUUAUUCUAACACUCUCUUUGAAGGAAGUAAAGCACAUUUGCUCGGAAAAGAAGCCAAUUGACAGCAAGCUCAGUGUGCCUUGAAGGCUUCGCCCCUGUGCUCUAGAGAUGCUAGGGAUAUUGGGGUCCCUUGCCUGGAGGUAUAUGUCAGACCUUUAGGAGAGCUUAUGGCCAAUGUGAAUUUCCACCUUUCAAGAAUGGUCAAUACGAGCAAGUAAAAUGCCAAGCAACAUGCAGGAGAGCUCAACAACACAGCAAGCAGGUGAGAUCUACUGUACAAUAUGCUACCUAAAUGUAGGCUAUCCCGAAAGUUUCCCCAAAAGUUCACUGAGUAUUCCUGAGGGUAGGGUGUGGCUGGCCAUGUUGAAAUCACCUCAACCAUUUUAGCAGUGCAAGAACCACACGGAAUCUCGACCAAAGUGCAAUGGCAUCCAUCUACUACCAGUAACAGAAAGACAAGAAGGAGCUCUCCAAACCCUUGUGCAUCGAACAGCAAAUGAGUGGGUCAAAGAGUCGAUACUAAAGAAACUUUAAAGAUGCUUAUGAGGCUGGAGGUGGAGCUUGCUGCUAGAGCAGCAUUUGCAAGGUCCUGGGUUUGAUCCCAACCACAUGUAAAAAAGACCAAACCAACCCAAACCGUGGAAAUGAAAACGUGGGCACAGAGGUGGCACCUCCCUGAGAGAGCAACAUAGCUCUUCAUGUUGUGUUUGUGGUAAAAAGGAAGAGACGUGGCCAAGAAAAUGAGCCUCCCUAUCUCAAGAACACAGAAAACAACAUCGGAGUAAAGAACACGGAAAAUGAAAUGGUAAAAUAGAGAAAAGUCAAUGAAACAAUGACAGGUUGGGUAAAUUUGGUAAAUAUAGAAAGAGUUAUCCGAAGGACAGAGAGGAGUUGGGAGGAGGCAAUGCCAGGGAUGGAACUGUGGAAAAGGAAAAGGGGAGGGGUGUGGCUCAGAGCUGGAGAGCUUACUCAGCACCCUCAUGACCCAGAAUUCAACCCCUGCUGCUGCAGACUGCUAAUAAAAAGUGACAAUUAACAACAAAGAAAUCAAAAUAGCAAUGUCAACUCUAUGUUCCUAAAUUUCACAGCUUUCAAAAAAUGGGCAAUUCCUUGAGAAUCACAAACUUCUCACACUCAAACUCAGGUGUGUAAAAGACCACCUGGAGUGGCCUUCUAACCAGAAAGAACUCGGGAGCUGGACUAGUGGUUCAGAUCAUUGCUGAUCUUGCAGAGGACCUGGGGUAGUCUGUGGCACUCACAUCCCGAGAGUCACAACCACUCCAGCUUCAGGGGACCCAACAUCCCCUUAGGAUCCCUGCUUCUGCAUACAGUGCACAUACAUACACGCAGGCACACACACACACGCACACAAAACUUAAAAGAAAUAAUUUAAAUGCUCUGGAAAUUCUCAUAAAAUCACCAGGAAAUUAUUUUGACCUUAUAGGCAAAAGCCUUUCAAAGCAGAAGUCUGUCGACAUUUGAAGAAAAUACAACUCUAAACUCACACGCUCUCCUCAAAACAAACACCCAAACAAACAACACCUCCCCAGACAAGCAAAAAGUGCCAAGCAAAUAAAUAAAUAAACAACAACAAAAAGGGGGGGGGGAUGGCACACUUCGCAAUCACUUUUUACAAGGUCAGUGUUGCUCAAACGCCAAACUCCGAUUUCUCUCAAAGACACAUUUACAGAUGUGCACGGAACGUCUCCCAUAGGAGAUAUUUUAUCUUAAAGGUUUAUAAUUUCCAAUAUAAAUAACUGUGAGAUCCAAACAUCAUUUUGCAGCUAUCCCCUUUGGCCUCUCUGAAACUGCUUACUAUCCCUAGUCUUCAUGUGUCAUUAUCGCCGGGCAGAGAUUUUUAAUUUCACCAUUGCCCACCAAUGGGGCGAAGAGAAGGAAGUCACCCAGAGGAAGAUUUUUGUCCCUAGUGUGACUAAUAUCCAUGAGCUCGGUGUCUCAUUCAGUCAGCUGUAAGAACCCUGGUCCUUUUUGUAAAAAUUCACUGUCUGUGCUGGGAAGAUAACUUAGUGGGGAAAACACCUGCUGGGCAAGCAUUAGGACCAGAGUUCUGAUCCCCAGCUCCCCAGUAAAGGUCAGGUGGGCAAGGGGGCGUGCCUGUAAUUCCAGCAUUGGAAAGUAAGCUCCACAGGGUGCCAGCUAGUUACACUAGCCUUUUCUGUGAAUACAGAGGGAGAGUAGAGAAGGAUUCCCAACAUUAACCUUGAGUCACUGCUUGCCACAUGCACCUGCACACUGUUUGACUGCACAUGUGCAUAUGUGUAUGCACACACACAUGCAUAGGGAAAUACAUACACAUACACAUAUGUGAAUGGGAAAUGAUAAAAUAAGUCACUGCCUGGAGUUUUAAGGGAAGACGUCAUAACCCAACAGGGGACCAACUCUGCCGAGAACAUAGAAGAGAGAGAGAUGAUUUUGAUUACAAUUAAAUACAAGUGGUAGGGAGUUUCCAAAGCAGAGUGGGGCUAAAUCUCACUGACUUUAAUGGACGAAUGCUCUAGUAUGUGAUAGCCCAGAAGAAAGCAGAGAGAGUAGACAGAGUGUGUCUGUAGAGUGGCUUUGAGUCAGA